UACGAAGGGUGCAAGCGUUACUCGGAAUUACUGGGCGUAAAGCGUGCGUAGGUGGUUCGUUAAGUCUGAUGUGAAAGCCCUGGGCUCAACCUGGGAAUGGCAUUGGAAACUGGCGACCUAGAGUGCGGUAGAGGGUAGUGGAAUUCCCGGUGUAGCAGUGAAAUGCGCAGAUAUCAGGAGGAACACCGAUGGCGAAGGCAGCUCGCUGGGACGGUACUGACGCUGAGACGCGAAAGCGUGGGGAGCGAACAGG
rnacentral:rRNA from 1 species